rnacentral:rRNA from 1 species
CCCUUAGAUGUUCUGGGCCGCACGCGCGCUACACUGACGGAGGCAGCGAGCGUGUCCUUCGCCGGCAGGUGCGGGCAAUCUUGCGAGUCUCCGUCGUGCUGGGGAUAGAUGGUUGCAAUUGUCGAUCUUGAACGAGGAAUUCCUAGUAAGCGCGAGUCAUCAGCUCGCGCUGAUUACGUCCCUGCCCUUUGUACACACCGCCCGUCGCUACUACCGAUUGAAUGGUUUAGUGAGAUCUCUGGAUUGACGCUGGCUAGGGGGCGACCCUUGGCCAGACUGUUGAGAAACUGCUCAAACUUGAUCAUUUAGAGGAAGUAAAAGUCGUAACA